UACGGAGGGUGCAAGCGUUAUCCGGAUUCACUGGGUUUAAAGGGUGCGUAGGCGGGCAGGUAAGUCCGUGGUGAAAUCUCUGAGCUUAACUCAGAAACUGCCAUGGAUACUAUUUGUCUUGAAUAUUGUGGAGGUGAGCGGAAUAUGUCAUGUAGCGGUGAAAUGCUUAGAUAUGACAUAGAACACCAAUUGCGAAGGCAGCUCACUACACAGUUAUUGACGCUGAGGCACGAAGGCCAGGGGAGCAAACGGG
rnacentral:rRNA from 1 species